rnacentral:rRNA from 1 species
GCAGCCGCGGUAAUACGUAGGUGGCGAGCGUUAUCCGGAAUUAUUGGGCGUAAAGAGCGCGCAGGUGGUUGAUUAAGUCUGAUGUGAAAGCCCACGGCUUAACCGUGGAGGGUCAUUGGAAACUGGUCAACUUGAGUGCAGAAGAGGGAAGUGGAAUUCCAUGUGUAGCGGUGAAAUGCGUAGAGAUAUGGAGGAACACCAGUGGCGAAGGCGGCUUCCUGGUCUGUAACUGACACUGAGGCGCGAAAGCGUGGGGAGCAAACAGGAUUAGAUACCCC